UUAAAGAAUACGGAAAAAUAUUCAUCAGUUAAAUACUUUAAAAGCUCUGUGUGAACAAAUCAAUACAUCUAUUUACAAAGAUUAAUAAAUACUAACAAAAAUAAAUAAUAUGAAUAGCAAGUUAAAAGUAUAUUUAGAAUAUAGAAAAUGUUUCCACUGAUAAUUCUGUAUCAUAUUCAUUUCUGCAUGUUUUAAUUGAAGUUUGUAUUUAAGUGUUUUUCUGCUGAAUAAAGAUCGCUCAGUGAAGCGUUUGGGCACUGUUCUCCAGGGCGUCAUGUGACCUCCCGCGUCACGUGACCUCUGUCUCCGUUACCGGUCGACUCGGUGGCUCACGGCGUCUCUAAUGGCCGCCACAGCCGAGUCCUGAUCCAGGAUCUGCAAACGUUUGUAGGAGGAGGCGUACCCGUCGUCAGUCUGCUGCUCAGCUCCUCCUGUCUCUGGAUCUCUGAGAGAUGACUCAGCGUUUCCUGCGCUCUCUGAUGCUGACUCAGCGUUUCCUGCGCUCUCUGAUGCUGACUCAGCGUUUCCUGUUCUCGCUGCUGAUUGGCUGUCGGCAGCAGAGGCGGCUCCCAGCCGUCCCUGAACGUCAGAACGAAGGGCGGGAAGUAAUGGUCCUUCGGCCACUCCAACCUGCCGGAGACAAGGAGUAAAACUUAGUAAACAAAGAGUCUAAAAUGUGUUUGUUUAAUCCUUUACAUUAAACUGCACCUCUGACUUCAAAAUACAACUUAUUUUAACAUUUCUAUUUUCGGGACAUUUCUGGAUUAUUAUUUCUACUUUCACAAUUUUAUUUUGAAUUUUCUUAAUGAUUGUUUUAUUCUAGUUUAUGUUUUUAUAACAAAAUGUAUUUCUGAAAAAACUUUCCUUUCUUUAAUUCAUUUCUUGUAUGUAUUUCUCAAUUUAUCGACAUUUAAGGCAUUUUGGGGAUAUAAAUUAUAAUACUGUUA